CAGGAAUUGAACCCGAGUAACUUACGUCUCCUGCACUGGCAUUGAAAGGCAGAGGACAUGAUUCCAAGAGCAAAGAAUCAACCCCUCAAGUACCCAUCAGUGCUGCAACAUACCUGAUCACUCAGAGUUGGGAAUAAAUCCACCUUCAAAAAUCUGAAUGCCACCACAGGCAUAACUGAAGCCACUGUUGUUAAGAGAAUAACAAGCCAGAUGCACUUCUGGGUCAAGGAAUGUCGUGCAUUUCC